AUUCCUCUUGUUGAGUUCUGUCCAGGGGGUGCCCAUGAAGACGUACAUAAGACCCGCCCGCUCGUCCUGACCUGUGUCCGGCCUGGCGGCCCUGCAGACAGGUGAGCCUGAACCAGAAGAAACCUUACAGCCUUUCCCUGCCCUGACUGCCCCCAGCUCCUCUGUGAAGAAGGCAGACCAGAAACCACUGUUCUCUAGAUGAGCAAACUGAGGCUCAAAGAGAGGACACACCUUGUUCAGAGUCACUUGGACUUGUUGGUGGAGCAGGACUCAAUGCCAAACGGGAGAGACCCCAAGAUCUUUCCUCCCCAACAACCUACUGUCUCAGGGGUGGGGAGGGAAGCAAGCCUUGGCGUUAUGUUGUUCUUCCCUUCCCUGGCUUUAGUUUUCCCCAUCUGUGGCAUGGGGCGGAUACUACAGCCCCUAGGAGUUGCUGUGAGAGAUUCGGGGGCCCUGUUAGCAGUGCCGCUAUGGCCUCUAUAACGCAGCCUCUGGAGUCCUGGCUAUGCCACCCUGCCUGCCUCUGCCUGGGCAUAGCUCAGAAGGACCAGGCAGGCAGGGCCAGGAGACGAGAAUGUGGGAGACGAACGUGUUCAGUUCCCAGCACCUGACCCCUGACCUCCCCAGUGGGAGAGUCUUGGCCAUUUUAAGAGAAGCCUGGAACGGCCUUGUCAGAAAUCUAAACCCAUUCUUGGGACAGAGGCUGUGAUGAGCUAUUCAUAGAACCUCCCAGAAUAGCUUUGGCCAUCUGUUGGGGCAAGCACUCCAGGGUGGAGAUUUGACCCAAACCGAGGUGAACCCCCACUCAGGCCCCUCUCCUGGGGCCCCUGCUGAAUUUGUUCCCAGGUGCAUUUGUCACCAGGCCAGAAUCACUGCUGAGGAGCCAGAGUGGGGGCAGUGAGAGCGGACCUCAUGACGGGCAGCAUGAAGCCUCCAGACUGCCCCGCCCCUGAUGCUGUGUGGCCCUGACAGGGCUGGUGUCCUUUCUGGGCACUGGCAUUCUCUUGUAUCCCUGGGUGUCCCCACUCAGACGUUCUAGGGUUGAGCUGGGGCUAUGAAUUUAUUAAGCACCGAGAAAGGGGGGAGCUGUCAGAGCUGGUCGCUGGUCCCAGCUAUCCUUACCUGCCCGCUUCAUUUAUUCAGCCGCUUACCCAUGGACUCCCUCCUACGUCCCCUCACUCAUCAUUCCGUCCCUUUCUCCUUCACCCACUGCCUGCCCCUCUCUGUCCCCCGUGCCCCAACCUUUCCCAGCACCCUCUCGGGAGGGCUGUGCACAGUGCUCACUGAGGCCGGGCUGGCUGACCAGGCCCUUCCCUGCAGGGAAGGUUCCUUGAAGGUGGGCGACAGGCUGCUCAGCGUUGAUGGGAUCCCGCUGCACGGGGCCAGCCACGCCACUGCCAUGGCCACGCUGCAACAGUGCAGCCACGAGGCGCUCUUCCAGGUGGAGUAUGAUGUGGCCAUCCCAGGUGAGUUGGGGGUCUGAGGACUAGGGUUGGGGCAGAAAGAGGCCCAGGGCUUGGGGCAGGGGGUAGCAGACCCAAAUCCUCACCACUGCAAAGGCUCUGUGACCUUGGACCAGCACCUAGCCUCUCUGAGCCUCUCUGGGCAAUAAACACUAUGUGUCAGGCAUUGUUUGAGGCACUAGAGAUCCAGGUGAGAGCAAUACAGACAAGGCCUCUGUUCUCAGGGAGCUCACCUUCUAGUGGGGAGAGGUGGACAGUAAACAGAAUAAAUCAAAUAUGGGAGGCAUCAGAUAGCAAUAAGUGGCAUUCUAAAAAAAAAACAAAACAAAACAUCAGGGAGAGAUGGGAAAGGCUAGGAGAGAGAAAGGUGAUGGUGGCUGGACCAGGCUGGUUGCCUGGGAAGCAUAGAUAGGUUGCAUUCAGGAAAUAUGAUGAAAGUCGAUUUGGUCUGAUUUGCUGACGUUUGGACACAGUGGCGGGGGUUGGGCAGGGGCGUCGAGAGCACAAGGAGCUAGGUUUCAUAUUUAAACCACUGGGUGGGUUAAUGGGGGUGCCAUUUUCUGAGAUGGGAAAAGGUUGUAGACAAAUGGCAGGCUCUCCAUAAGUGGGAGCACCUUAGUGUUGUCUAGCAGAGCCGUAGGGUCAGAGCCCCUCAGAGCUGAGUUCCUGACCCUCCUCUGCUGCUGAGUGUUUGUGUGAACUUGGACAAGGCCUUUACCUCCAUACGUCUCAGUUUACCCAUCUGUAAAAUGGGUACGGUAAUCCCUCCCCAGCAGUGGGGGUUAAAUUGAGAUAGCCGACUGAGGCUGGGGAGGCAAGCGUUCAAUAUUUGCAUUUCGAACUCUUGUCUCCUUCCACAUGCCAGACACAGUGGCCAAUGCUUCGGGGCCCUUGAUAGUGGAGAUAACCAAGACACCUGGGUCCGCCCUGGGGAUCUCGCUCACCACCGGCUCCCACCGGAACAAGUCGGUCAUCACUAUCGACCGCAUCAAGCCGGCCAGUGUGGUGGACAGGUGAGACACACUGGGUGCUGCCCCCGUAGUGGCCAGGGAUGGACGGGGGAGAGGCCACCUUGAGCUCUCUCUGGCCAGACCAGCCUCCCCUUUCAUUCUCCCACCCGGCCAGGAGUGGGGCCCUACAUGCUGGAGACCACAUCCUGUCCAUUGACGGCACCAGCACAGCACACUGCUCGCUUCUGGAGGCCACCAAGCUCCUGGCCAACGUGUCAGAGAAAGUGCGGCUAGAGAUCCUGCCAGCACCCCAAAGUCGGAGGCCCCUGAAACCGUCAGAGGCAGGUGGGUCCCCUUGGAGGGUCUCAGCCCCCAAACCUGAGGGCGGAUGGGGAGGAUUGCACAGGGUCCCAGAGGCCUAGGACUGUAGCCCUGGGCAGGCUAAAAUUUACUGGAACAAAUGUCCGCUCCCAUGGGGAAGCUCAGACUGUCAAGUGCAGCAGCCGAGGCUGGGCCGGUGGGGCAGAGAAACAACUUGAAUGUUUGAGUGUUGACAGUCUGCUGGGGUGGGUGUCCCAAGGCUGUUUCCGUCACUCUUUGUAUUAAUAGAAAUACAACGGCUAGACCAAGGUUGGGGACAGUCCUUCUGUGCUCUGUGCUACUUAGAGCUUAGAUCUGGGGCUCAGCUUACCAUCCUCAGCAGGACCAGAGGGGGCAGCCAGUCAGUCAGGAGCACCGAGAGCCCCGCCUUUUGAGGAGUUGGGGGCUCCCAGACCAGAGCAGAGAGCUGGGUGCGAGGCAGUCCAAGAGCAGAGGAAGCAGGUAGUCUAAGAGACCAGAGGGCAGAGCUGAACUUGGGGCAGGGAAGUGCCUCUAGCAUUCCAGACCUUGGGCUUUGGGUUCAAAUGCCAGUGCUGCCCCAGCUGAACAGCCUCUGCAUCUCUCAGCCUCCGUCGCCUCAUCCGUAAAUGGGAGUGAGGACCCCACAUGCACAGGCUUGGGAGAAGUUAACCGAGGUAGAGGAUAGAGCACAGCCCAGGGGUGUGAAUCCCAGCCUGGUACGCCCGAUUGAUCAUCUGGGAGAGAAAGAAACCCCUCAAAUAAAAUGCGGGGAGACAGGUGUUGGGGAGGGUCCAUCUGUGUGGUCUCUGCCAGGGUCUGAAAAGGCCCCAUCAAGCCACAGCCAGGGCCUGACACGGAAGGCUUUGGGGCUUGAGCUGGAGUCACAUAUGGAGCACCUGCUGUGGGCUGGGGCUUCCCAUGGGUCGCCUCCUUUCAUCCUCAGGAUGAGUCUGUGAGGUCAGUAUUGCUGUUAUUCCACUUUCCAGAGGAGGUUGAGGCAGCUGAGGCUCAGAGAGGCACCCCUGAGGUGCCUCAUGAGGGCACACGGCUGCCGACAGCCCUCCUGGCCCUUGUGGGCCUCCGCUAGGUGCCAGGCACUGCUCUAAGCACGUCCUGUGUGGUAGCUCGUUCACAUCCUCCCCAUUAUCCUGGGAGGCAGCCACUAUCUUAGCCCCAUUAUACAGAUAAUGACAGUGAGGCACAGAGGGGCCAAGUGGCCUGUCUCAAGGACCUGGCAGCUGGCUCCUGAGUUGGCUUGUGUGCCGUGCCCUCCCUGUGUGGGAUGGAGGUGCUGCACAGGGGGUGGAGUCACUGGGCUGAGAUAGCUGGGUUCUCACUCAUCCGUCCGUGGACACGUUGCACCAGGCUGGCCCCCCCGAAAGCCCCACAGCAGAAGGAAGAGCCAAGGCGGGACCUGGGGCAGUCUGGGAGGAGGCGUUGCAUGGCAGCCGGUUUAGAAGAUCUGGUGGGGCAGGUGGGGGAGGCAGGAUCGCUGGAGUCCCGUGGGAAGCAGAUGGAGGAGAGUGCAAAGAAUUCAUCUGGGGGUAAAGCCUGCGCAAGUUUGGAGGGCAGGGGGCGGGAAGCCAGAGCAGCUUCAGACUGCAGUGCAGGGGUGAGCAGACCUCGGCCAACUCCUCGGCCCUGGAGCAUAGGUUGCCUCGAGAGCCCAGCAUGGGGCAGAAACAGCCAGGCCCUAGUGCCCCCAUGUGCUCAGCCCCUGGCCAGGGCUGCCCAGGCCACAGCACCGCAGUAGAUCCUAAAGGCGCAGGGGCCCAGUGGGGUCUGUCAGCCGCGCUGCCCAAAGCUGAUGGGCCAGUUCUCAGGCUGGGCCUGCUUUCCCUCCCAUCCUUGCUGCCGCCUGGCUGAGAGCUGAGCACAGUGCCUGGCACGUAGUGGGGGUUUCGGGACACAUGAGCGGCAUCCGAAUGAAUGCCUGGCUUGGCUCUGGGAAAACUCAGGCUGUCUGGUCCUGCUCUUCUCGCUUCAUCUUGCAGAUGGGAGCCUGCCCUCCAGGGGGGCGUGGUGAGUCCAGACUCGCUCAGUCCCUAACACCUGCACCUCUGUCUCCUCUUCCUUGGGUCACAGUGAAGGUGCAGAGGAGCGAACAGCCACAUCGCUGGGACCCCUGCGUGCUCUCCUGCCACAGCCCGCGGCCCGGCCACUGCAGGACGCCCACCUGGGCCACACCUGCCGGCCAGGACCAGAGCCGAUGUAAUGUGCCCAUCUCACCAUGGCUUGUGCAUGUUUCAUAGGGGAGGAAACCAAGACGCAGAGAAGUUAGGGGGUCUGCCCGGUAUUACCCAGCACAUUAGUGGCGACAUGAGCCUGGCAGCUGGGUUUCACCAGGUCUGUGAAAACCCUGCAGUCUUUGAGGCCCAGAGUGGGAGAGACUUACCUGAGGUCACACAGCCAGUGGUUGAGGUGAAAGGGGGAGUGCGUCCCCGUGUCGCCUUGUGCUGGGGUGGCUGCCUAGCACCCACUGUGUGGCAAGGUGGCAGGCCCUUCUGGGAUUCACGGGGCUGUGCUCUCAUCUCCCCAGCCUUGUCCUCGACUCCCUUUUCCUCGCCGACCAUGAAUCAUGCCUUUCCCUGCACCAACCCCAGCACCCUUCCCCGUGGAUCCCACCCUAUGAGCCCCCGGACCACAAUGGGGCGGAGGAGGCAGCGAAGAAGGGAGCACAAGAGCUCAUGUAAGUAAACCAUGGGCUCUUCCCUCCGCUUUGAGCUACGUGUAUGCCUGAUCCUGAGAGAUUUGCCGAAGAGUGGGGGCAUUUGGGGCAGGGCCCCAGUUCUAUGUUUGUGGGGUCAUUAAAUAGCAUGAGUGGUAUGCCAGACUGCCUUGGAUGGUUGGGUAGGUUGUGCAGUGUACAAGGAUGCACCUGAUGAGUUCCAGUUGCUUUGUACAUUUAUUAUGGAAAAUUCCCAGCAGGUGAUAGACCUCACCAUCAAAGAGGCACCUCACCUUAAAGUGCCUUGAGGAGAGGAUACCUGAAUCUGAAAAGCUUUCCCCUUUCAGAUUUGCACAAAGGUCUUGCAGGAACUCCAUUUCAUUUUCUUUCAUUCUGGAUUCGUUCUGAUCCAUUCAAGGAGAAAGUGUGAGCGUGGUGCAGCUACGUCUUUACCGCUUCUCUGACAUUUUUUAAUUUCCCCUAAGACAAAGACAUGUAGGCCUGAGGCUAGCCAUCCAGCAUGUGGUAAUUUUCACGUUCAGUCUGUAUGUAUAUAUACACAUAUGCGUGUAGACACACAUACAUAUAUACACACACGUAUAGAUUUCUACUUACCUUUUGUUUAUAGGCAUUUCUAUUUGCAAUCACUGUAUAUGUAGUUCCCUUUUGUUUUUUUUUUUGUUUUUUUUUUAAAUUUUUUUUUUCAACGUUUAUUUAUUUUUGGGACAGAGAGAGACAGAGCAUGAACGGGGGAGGGGCAGAGAGAGAGGGAGACACAGAAUCGGAAACAGGCUCCAGGCUCUGAGCCAUCAGCCCAGAGCCCGACGCGGGGCUCGAACUCACGGACCGCGAGAUCGUGACCUGGCUGAAGUCAGACGCUUAACCGACUGCGCCACCCAGGCGCCCCUGUAGUUCCCUUUUGAAAUGAAGGUAUAAGUAUUUUAAAAAGUGAGUGAAUGUAAAGACAAAUAGUAGUGAAUGAUAAUGCAGGAGACGUGUGGAAAUAGCAAAAGUCACGAGAAUGCCAAGAAUUUUGAAGUCUUUCCUGGGAAAAGUCCUUCCUUUGUUGACGUAGAGAGUUUAUCCAGCCUUCUGCUCUGUGAGUUGUAGAGGCCUCCAGGAAGGAUGAAAGGUUAACUGGGCCGUUUGUAAUUGAACCAGGUGAGGGAGAAGAGGAAUACAAAUCUCCUGGAAAGGAGCUAAAUACGGUUAUGAGCUUCCUGGAAGCCAAGGUGAAAAUGGAAACAUUUCAGAGUCAGAUGAGAGAUUAAAAUACGUCUUUACCAACCUCCUUUGUCAACCACCAAAGCUGGAGGUGUGUAGGUAAAAAGAUUCAGAAAUGCUGUUCAUAGGCAGGGGCAUGUGGAGGCUAAGGGCUCUUGGGACACCUUUACCUGUCCCUUUCCUAAGAUGGAUGACUAGUAAGGUAUUAUUAUUAUUAUUAUUAUUAUUAUUGAUGAUAACCAUUAGUUAAUUAGUUAAACGUUUUUUUUUUUUAAUUUUUUUUUUCAACGUUUAUUUAUUUUUGGGACAGAGAGAGAGCAUGAACGGGGGAGGGGCAGAGAGAGAGGGAGACACAGAAUCGGAAACAGGCUCCAGGCUCUGAGCCAUCAGCCCAGAGCCUGACGCGGGGCUUGAACUCACAGACCGCGAGAUCGUGACCUGGCUGAAGUCGGACGCUUAACCGACUGCGCCACCCAGGCGCCCCAAUUAGUUAAACGUUUUGAACACCUCCUAUAUACCAAGCACCAUUCUUGUUAUUAGGGAUGGAACUAUGAAAAUUAUAGCAAUACAACAUAUGCAACAAUACAAUAUAUUACACAGAUUGUAACAUGUAAUAUAAAGUAUAACAAAACAGUAAUAAAGGUAUAAUAGUAUAAUAGAAUUCAUAAUAGAAUUAAAUAUAAUAAAUUAUAUUUAAUACAUAAUACCUAUUAAUAAUACAGGUAUUUUUAUAUCUGGAAUAUAAAACAAUAUAUAUUAAGUAACAUAAUGUAUCAAACAGAUAUAAAAUUUUCAUAUGACCCAGCAAUUCCACAUUGAUAUAUGCCCAAGAGAAAUGAAAAUAUAUGUCAUGUCUACCCAAAAACUUAUACAUGAAUACUCGUAGCAACAUUAUUCAUUUUAGCCAAAAGGUGGAAACAACCCAGAUGUCCAUCAAGAGAUGAAUGGAUAAGGGCGCCUGGGUGGGUCAGUUGGUUGAGAGUCCAACUUUUGGUUUUGGCUCAGGUCAUGAUCCCAGGGUUGUGGGAUCGAGCCCCGCAUCGGACUUCUCACUGAGCAUGGAGCCUGCUUAGGAUUCUCUCUCCCUCUCCCUGUGCCCCUGUCCUGCUCUCAUGAACGCUCUCUCUCUCAAAAAGAGAGAGAGAGAGAGAGAGAGAUGAAUGGUUAAAGAAAAUGUGGCGUAUUCAUACUGUGGGAUGUUAUUUAGCCUUAUAAAGGAGAACCUUGAAAAUAUUACGCUUAGUGACAGAAGCCAGACACAAAAGACCACAUAUUAUAGGAUUGAAUUUACAGGGAAUGUCUAGAAUAGGCAAACCCAUAGAGAAGAAAAUAGAUUAGAGGUUGCUUAGGGCCGAGAGAGAUGGAAGGAUCUGGAGCGCUAGCUAAAAGGAAUGGGGUUUCUUUCUGAGAUGAUGAAAGGAUUCUACAUUUGAUUGUGCUGAUGGUUUUACUACGUUGUUAAUAUACUGUAACACACUAAGUUGUACACUUUAAAUUGGUGAAUGCUAUGUUAGGUGAAUUGUAUCUCAAUAAAGCUGUUACCAAAAAUAGCAUACUACGUAUUAUGGUAUUAUACUAGCAUUAGAACAACACUAACCCAACGUAACAUCACAAUCCUCUGUUUUACAGAGGACUUUACAACAUCACAUCACACAUCACAAUCCUCUGUUUUACAACAUGGCAGUCCCAGGAGCUGUCUCCCUUAAUCCUUGUCACGGCCCUGCUGGGUGGGAAUCCCCCGCUGUGCAGAUGAGGAGAGCACUGCCCAGAACAGGCUGUGACUCCCUGGGCCACUCACUUGCCCGUCUGACUCCAGGUUCUUGAGCCUAGGAAUGGGUUGGUUCUGGCCCGAAGGGCUCUCUGGGACUGCCCACCUGACAGCCAUGCCCACCUGUCCUGCAGUGUCACUGGCCUCCAGCACAGUGGGGCCAGGGGGACAGAUCGUGCACACGGAGACCACGGAGGUCAUACUCUGCGGAGACCCCCUCAGCGGCUUCGGCCUCCAGCUCCAGGGUGGCAUCUUUGCCACCGAGACCCUUUCUUCCCCUCCGCUCGUGCGCUUCAUCGAGCCCGACAGCCCAGCAGAGAGGUGAGCCAACUUCCCCUGCCCCACUGGGCCUGCCACUCUCCAACUCAGGGCUCAUAGACAGCCAGGGAAACAGAGUCACAUGCCAAGCCUGGCUUCACAAGUGUAUCUCGCUCCGCCAUCCCAUCAACUCCGUCAUCAGCCCCACUUUACAGAUGAGGAAACUGAGGUGCAGAGAAGCUGAUGCAUUGCCCAGGGUCACGCAGCUUGUGAGUGCCCCAGGACUGGAACCCCUGUCUGCCUGAAGCCAGAGUCCUCUAUAUACAUAUCUCCUAAGGCACGCAUCACCCCCCUUGGGCAGACAGAGAAGCCGAGGCCCAGCAAGUUCACUCCCUUAGCCAGAGUCACAUGCUGAAUGGCCUGAGGAUGUACAGCUGGUAUAGGGCCGAGCUGGGAGUCAUACCUCGAGCCUGCCCCUGCAUGGCAUUCCUGUCCCCCAGGGAUAGCCGUGCUGGUAACGGAACUUCUUCUCUCCGCGGGGCUGCCCGGGAUUCAGGUGUGGGCUGCUGCAGGUGGGAGACCGGGUCCUGUCCAUCAAUGGUAUUGCCACCGAGGACGGGACGAUGGAGGAAGCUAACCAGCUGCUGCGGGACGCGGCGCUGGCCCACAGGGUCGCACUGGAGGUCGAGUUUGAUGUGGCAGGUGAGUGAGUGUCCCUACCUCCCCCUCGCCCUUGGGGACCCUGUGCUCCCUCCUGUCCUGUGCUCUCGCCUGGUGCACGUGCUCCUCCACCCCCACCCCACCCCCCCUUGCAGCAACCCUUCUGCCUGAGUGUUUGCAGCGUGUGCCUGAGCACCAGCACCAGGAAGGCACUGGCCGGGGAGGCAGGAAUUCUGCACACCAGUGGGAGCGUUGAUGAGGGAGUUUUGUGCCGAAACAGGACCGAGGGAGGGCAGAGGGGGGCUGAAAACAUUCCCUGCCCCUCUGCAGGGCUUAGGCAAAGAACCCCACACAAAAACUCAGUUAGACGUUCUGGUCUUGUGAUUUCGACAUUCUGUGACUUUGGACACUCCCUCCCACCACCCAUCCUCAGCUUCCCCAACUUGAACUGGUGAAUAGAGUCCUACUACAAUGGAUAUUGUUGGGUUAGAUGAGAUAAAUUGUGUGGAAACACCAAGCUAAGGCCCGGCACGUAGUAGGUGCUUGGUAGAUUGUUACUGGGUCUGAACUGGGUUGGCUGGCCGUCAUGGGGCCUGGGUGCCAGCCCCAAAUCUGCUCUGACCAGAUGGGUUGUCUUGGGCAAAUGCCAGCUCACCAUGCCUCAGUUCUCUCAUCUGUCAGGUGGAAGACGCAGGAUGGGGUUGGGAUGGUGACUUUUUGCAGUCUUUCCCAGCUGGCCUACUGGGACUCCCUGAGUCUUCUCCCUCAGGCCUCACAUGAGUCCACGUGUGUUUGCCUGCAGAGUCCGUCAUCCCGAGCAGCGGUACCUUCCACGUGAAGCUGCCCAAGAGGCGUGGAGUGGAGCUGGGCAUCACCAUUGGCUGUGAGUCCCUCCCCGCCAUCCAGUCCCCACGCCGAGUGAGCCUCCUGCUGAGGGAAAGCACACACCUCCAGCCUAGAAGAGGGGGUGCUCCAGGUGGGAGGGCUGGCUUGGGUUCCCUCUGCCUGCAACGCUCAGCUCUGUGUCCUUGGGCGACACCCUAGCCACUGGGAGCAUCAGUUUCCCAUUCUGCACAAUGGGAGUUUCCUGGCCAUGUGGCUCUCCCAGUGGGAUUAAGUGGCUUGUAAGGCACCAAACACGUGGGCCAGAUUGGUUUUUUAUUUGUUUUUUGUUGUUGUUGUUUUUUACCUUCACAUUCCCAGUAGUGGGAGGAUGAAAACAGAAGAGUAGAAUGCACAAGCAUAGGGACCUUCAGAACCCUCCCAUGGCUUCAUCCUACUCUGAGUAAAAGCUGAAGUCCUCACGGCUGAUGAGGCCUUUGUGAUCUGGUCCUAGUGAUCUCUGACUUCAUCUCCUGCCAUCCCUCCAUCAUGCCCCACCAGCCACUGCUGGCCUCCUGGUUGAUCCUUGAACAUACUGCUCCUUCCAGCCUCAGGGCCUUUGCACUGGCCAUUCCCUCUGCCCUCUUCCCCACCAUUUGCUCAAAUGGCACCUUUGGAAGUCCUUUCCUACCACCCCGAUUUACACUUGCCCUACCCUCCACAUGGCCCCUUCCAUACUUUCUUUUUCUCCACAGCAUGCUUUAUCAGUUGACAAACUAUGUACAGUUGGCCCUUGAACAACAUGGGUUUGAACUGUGCAGGUCCACUUAAACAUGGAUUUUUUCCGAUAAAUACAGUACAUCCUAUAAAUGUAUUUUCUCUUCCUUACGAUUUUCUUUUUUUAAUUUUUUUUAACGUUUAUUUAUUUUUGAGACAGAGAGAGCCAGAGCAUGAAUGGGGGAGGGUCAGAGAGAGAGGGAGACACAGAAUCCGAAACAGGCUCCAGGCUCUGAGCUGUCAGCACAGAGCCCGACGCAGGGCUCGAACUCACGGACCGCGAGAUCAUGACCUGAGCCGAAGUCGGCCGCUUAACCGACUGAGCUACCCAAGCGCCCCUUUUCCUUAUGAUUUUCUUAACAUUUUCCUUUUUCUAGCAUACUUUAUUUUAAGAACACAGUAUGUGAUACAUAUAACAUACAAAGUACAUGUUCAUCAAUUGUGUUAUUUGUAAGGUGUCCAUUCGACCGUAGGCUAUUAGUAGUUAAGUUUUAGGGGAGUCAAAAGUUAAUAUUCAACUGCACGGGGAGACAGCACCCCUAACCCCCACAUAGUUCAAAGGCCAGCUGUACUUUAAAAUGUUGUUGAUUAUCUGUGUCCCCCACCAGACUGGUAGCCCCAGGAGGGUGGGGAUCUUUGUUUUGUUCACUCUCCCUCUCCCUUGCACAUACAUAGUAGAGAUUGAACUGUGUCCUGGGGAUCCUGAAGGGAAAGACGUUGGGAUAAGGGGUGGAGACACCCCCCGGCUGGCUGUAGCAUUGCCACCCCCACCGCCCUGCUGAGGUGACCUCCUGGCGAGUGUCCACUCUGGCCAGGGCAGCACACACACUGGUAGGCUGACCCCAGGUCAGGCAACAGAUGCUUGGACCUCAUUCCCCAGGGAGAUUCAGGGAGCCCCAGAGAACAGAAGACCAGGAUUGCAGUCCUUGUGUGAAAUGAUCCUCAGUCCCCACCCUGGGCUUGACAGAGGGUGACUGCAGCUCCUUCCUUCCCCAGACUCCACAGUCAAUGGAGGUGGAAGUUUAAGCACUCUGGGAGGGGAGAAGCUGCUUCCAGCCCAGGAACCUCUGGGUAGGGCUGCCAGAUACAGUUGCACAAGUUGCACAUGACACAAAGAUGCCCAUUUGAGGUAGACUUACAAUUUUAUUGCAUCAGUCGGAAGAGGUGCCCUUGUCUCAUCUGCAAAGAUGCCACAUGGGCUAGAAGAGGCUCCUACCAUCUGGUCACUAAUGGGAAAACCCAUCCGCCCAGAUGGAUUCUUUCUGCAAGAAAACUUAGCUAUUCAUGCAACACCCAUUGUCUUAGGUCACGUUUCCCCAGAAAGAGCUUCUUAGACAGAGUUAUGUUCCGGGGGUUUGCUGAGAAGGGCUCUUGGAAUCACCACCUGUGCGAGGUGAAGGAUGUGGGGCUGGGCAGAUGGAGGAGCUGGGUUGUGAUGCGACCACAGCAGGUGGCCCAGCCAAUCCCACGGAGAGCCCGAGGGCCAGGAAGGCUUUGGAAGUUGUCCUGAAUGAGGCUGGGAGCCAGGCCUUUGCACCUCUGUUGGACCAGGCUGUACCCAGGAGCUGCAUAACCUUGGGUGAGGCUGUUCUCUUGGUCAGAGGCAGUUUCCGGAGAGGGAGCCCCCUGCGGGCCAUUCAGCUAGCACUCCCUGCAGAUGGGAGAAGGGAAAACUCAAUUGUGGAAGGGUCACCCAGUUCCUGGGUCGUGGCCCUGUGCCAGGUGGGAGUCCCUGACACAGCCCCUGAAGGAGUUCGCAGUUUGCUGGGGGAUGGGCUGAGCAGAAGGGAAAAGCGCUGAUGUGGACUGAGCACCUGUUAUGUGCCGGGAUCCAUGUUAGGUUUUGCUUUGUCUAGUUUGAUCUCAUGACAUCUUCAUGAGUUCUGUGGCAUCCCCCCCAUCUUACAGAGGGGAAACUGAGGCAGAAAGGGGGCUGAUUUGCUCACGGUCACCCAGACAGGAAGCAGUGAGAGCAGGACAUGCUCUAACUCCUGACCCCUCCAAACUCCCUGAGGCUGAGGUGGUCAAAGGUCAGAUUCAUGCUUCUCCCCCCUCCCCCCCCCAGCGACCAGCAGGAAGCGAGGAGAGCCCCUCAUCAUCUCUGACAUCAAGAAGGGCAGCGUGGCACACAGGUAGGGCUGGCCCUGGGCACAGGGCAGGGGGAGUAAUCCAGGGGGAGUAGCGUGUGCCAGCCUCUUUCUGUCCCCCACCCCUGCUCAUGCAGGACCGGCACCCUUGAGCCAGGCGACAAGCUUCUGGCCAUCGACAAUAUCCGCCUGGACAACUGCCCCAUGGAGGACGCUGUGCAAAUCCUGCGGCAGUGCGAGGACCUGGUGAAGCUGAAGAUCCGGAAGGACGAGGACAACUCCGGUAUGGCCCCUGCCAGGCCCUGCCGCCUCUCGGUCCACCCCCGGAUGAUGCGUUCCCAGCUUGCAAUUUGGGGUUCCCUCUGGCCAAGGAGGGAGGGAGGCAGGCUGCUGGUGCAGGCUCCUUGAAUGAACAGAUGCAGGGAGGAGCCCCAGCACAGAUGUCUCACCAUCCCUGGGGCUGCCUGGAUCCUCUGCACCCAGCACAAAGCCUAGCAGAGGGGACCCCCAGGGGGCAGCAGCGAGCAGAUGAGUGGGCGGGGCAGGGAUGCCUCAAUGACUGCACCCUGCACGGGCAGUGUGUGAGUGAAGAAGUAAAAGCUGUGACACCUCUGAGGCCAGACAGGUGACAGAAGUGAGUGAACUGGACAGAAGGUAAGAGAAAUGUAUACAGGUUGGGGAGGCAGUAGGGAGGGGUGAGGCUUGUGGUCCCUGGAGAGCCAAUCCCUUAUUCAGAGAGGCAAUUCCUACCCUGGGAAGUAUGCUGUCUUGUGGGCAAAACUUCUUCUAAGUUUUCUUUUUUAAAGAAAGCUGGAAAUCUGGUUUCUUCUUCUCAUUAUUGUUAUUUUGUGUCAUGCAUGAAAUAUAUAUUUUAGAGUGUUGGGUUCAUGGUGUUUGGGUGCCAGAAAACAUUUCUGGAGGCAGAAGAUGGCAUCAGAGUCCCCGGGUUGUGCCAUCCAAAGUCAUGGCAGGAGUGAAUGGGUGAACUAACAAAUGAGUGAGUGCGAGUGGGAGUGAGUAAGGACACCAAGGUGUUGGGGGCUGGGGGCGUCCAUCUCCUGGGUCCUGCCCCACUGCACCCCGCCCUGAUAGGUGCCACCUUUGCAGAUGAACAGGAGACCACGGGUGCCAUUAGCUACACAGUGGAACUGAAACGUUACGGGGGUCCCCUGGGUAUCACCAUUUCGGGCACAGAGGAGCCUUUUGACCCCAUUGUCAUCUCAGGCCUCACCAAGCGUGGUCUGGCUGAGAGGUGAGCCAGGGUUCUGGGGGGGGGGGAUGCAUGGGGUGGGCCCAGGGACCCUCAUGGGGCAGGGGUUGUGCUUUGAGAACAGCUGAAGUGGAUUCUGACCUUGGUUCCAACGUUGACAUUCUGGGUGACAUCAGGACUGUCCCUUCCCUCUCUGAGCCUCAGUUCCACAGAGGUAGACCAGCCCCUCCCUGGCUGACCUCUCCAGCUUCAGUAGGUGCCAGAUAAAUGUAUGCCAACUCUCCUCUCUCUCCCAAUGUGGAGAUUCCUGGAGAUUUCUGGAAAGUCAGCAUUGUGAGCCUUUUUGGAGCACCUGCUGUGUGCCUUCAAUCCUGGCACAGCAUGGGGCUUUUCUGCAGGCAUUAUGGGCCCCCCUGCUGUCCUCUCCCCUGGGGAAGGUGUGAGAAAGAGGGUGCCCCAGGCUGGCCAGACUGGGGGGAGCAGGUGAAUCUGGGGCCCAGAGGUAGAACAGGGCCCCAUGGGGGUCACGGGGGGUGGUCCCAGUCUGGGCGAGAUGCAGCUUUCUCCAGCCACUGAGAGGAACUGGCUGUAAAGGGAGAGACUGGGCAGGUCUGGAGGGGGCAGGCUGGGCCCCUGGGGGAGGACACAAAGCAGGAAGGGCCACGUGGUGACAGGGUGCCGCAGUGGGACAGAGGGGGCUGAGGAGUGUGGUUCCUGGCUCCCUGUUGGUGUCCUUGCUCCCGGAGCGCCCCCUGCUGGCCCACUCCAGGGGCCAGUGUGGAUGGUUCCCACCUCAAGUAUGUUCAUCUACUCCCACGUUUACUGGGUACCUACUAUGUGGCGGCUCAUCCUGGACGCUGGGAGCACAACAGACAGUCCCCCGUGCCCUCACCAGGCUGAUCUAGCUUAGUGCUGUCUAGCUGCAGUGUAAUGCGAGCCACACAUUUAAUUAUCAACUUCCCGGUAGCCAUAUUAGAAAAAUAAAGAGAAAUAAAACGAAUCUUACGUAUGUAUUUAUUUCAACACGUAAUCAAUAUACAAAUGAUAAAUGAGAUAGUUUACACUAUUUUUUUAAUUGUGUCUUCAGAAUCUGGUGUGUCGUUUGCCUAAGUCAAGGCGUCUCAGUUUGUGGCAGCCACGCUAUGGGGCCCAGUAGCCACAGGCGGCUGCCGAACUGGACAGACCUCCCUCCCUCACUCAGCCCGCCACCCCCCUGACUUAGUCCCCUGGACUCCUGGGGAGCUUGGUGGGCGGUGCCCACCUGCAGCUGCUCUCCCUGCUCUCUCUCAGUGCUGGCUGUUCCUCAGGAUCCCCUUCCCCAGCCCGAUUCCCAGGGAUACCAUUUAAUUGGCCAGGCGUGGGGGCCAGGCGUGUGCAUGUUUAGAAAAGCUCCUCAGGUAAUUCUAAUGGUGUCCAGGCAGAAACCCACUGGACCGGAUCAAUGCUGCUGCCUGGCCUUGUCAGCCCCUUGCAUCCCCUUGUGAGGUCGCCCGGGCACCCUGUGCUCAUUCUCUAGGUGAGGAAGCUGAGGCCCAGGGAAAGGGAAAGGCUGUCCAUGGAGAGAAGCAUGAAUCCCUUCCACCCAUCCAUCUUUCAGUUAGAAUUAGGUAAAGUAAGUUUAUCACUCUCAUUUACGGGCUCCAGAUCAUGUGGUAGUUGACAGCUGCUCUGCGCGAUUCAGACCGUGCUCAGAACUCAUGCUUCACCCUGCUUCCAGAACCUGCCUUUACAGUCAGGCAGGAUAAUCCCUCCCCUCCCAAAUUCUAGACUUUGUACCUCCGUUCAUACCACCAGAGAUCACACUUGCCUUCUGUUGCAGCUGGGUUUGAUUGAGGUCCGUCGGGCUUGUGCCUUGGGGUUCCUGAGUUCCCUGAAGGCAGACCCCCACCCUGAAGCCUCGACUGUGUCUCGUUCUCUGUCCUGUGCCCCCUCCCCAGGACUGGCGCUAUCCACGUUGGGGAUCGCAUCCUGGCCAUCAACAGCGUCAGCCUCAAGGGCCGGCCUCUGAGUGAGGCCAUCCACCUCCUGCAGGUGGCUGGUGAGACUGUCACACUGAAGAUCAAGAAGCAGCUAGACCGUGAGCCUCACCCCAACACCUGGGGGCCCUCAGCCCAUGUGGGAACCCCUCUGUGCCCAGCCUCGUGGAAUCCCCACCAAACCCCACAGAGGUGGGAAGGCACCUGGGACAGCUGAGGAGAUGAGACCCAGAAGGGUCACAGCUUGUAUGGGGCAGAGUCUGGGCCUGAACCACCCACUGUCUUCAUCGCCUCCUGCCUCUCACAGCUGCUCGUUAUGCCUUCGGGCCGUACCUGUCCUUUCCUCAGUUUCCCCCGAUUUGUACCCUGUACCUUGGCAAGCGAGGCCACCGCCCGCCGUGGAAGGAGCCUUCAGGGUCUUCCUUCUGACCCGGGCCCCACUGUUGCUCACCCUGUGACCUUGGGCAUGUUGUGCACACACAAUGCCACGGGGGCUUCCCGAGGCCCAGCUCAGAGAACUCAGCCUCCGUUUUCCUGUCUGUGAAAUAGGUUUGCCCAUUGGUGCACCACCUCCCUCAUAUCAGGGGGCCCAGCAGUAGGCUUGGGGGGAGUGCUCAGUGCCUGUGAGUUCCCAAACCAGACUGAAGUGGGGAAACUGAGGCUCACUGAGCAUCUCUGUCUCUGAGGUCAGAGGCCAGUGGCAGUGACACCCCCUUUCCAUCCCAGGCCCCCUCCCACACCGCAAGUCGGGCAGCCUCAGCGAGGCCAGCGAUGCAGAUGAGGACCCUCCAGAGGCACUCAAAGGGGGCUUGCUGGCAGCUCGGUUCUCCCCUGCCGUGCCCAGCGUGGACAGCGCCGUGGAGUCCUGGGACAGCUCGGCCACAGAGGGGGGGUUUGGGGGCCCAGGUAACACUUCAUCGCCUAUAAGCAACAUGCUCUCUCUGGGCCGCCCCAGCUGCCAGGCCUUUGUAGGGGCUGCUCCUUCUGCCUAAUCCUUCCUCCUCCUCUCCCAGCUCCUUCCUUCAGGGACGCUUCCUGGAGGCAGACCCGCCUGGGCCACAUCAGCCAUUCCCAGGGCCCCUCACUGCUCAGAGCAUGGACCCCAGGCCUUCACACAUCUUUUGAUUAGCAUCCAUAGCACCUCAGCUGGCUAUUCAGAGUUCCCCACCCUGAGGUUAGGGACCAAGCUGGCCAUACUUCUGUCUUUGUCAUUCCCAGCCCAGUGCCCUGCACACGGCAGGUGCCCAAUCAAUGUUUAUUGCAUCCGUGGAGUCCUGGGCAAAAAACCCCUUCCCACCUCAUCCCGCAAGACCCAGCCUUAAAGCGGACACCUCCAGGCCACCCUCUUAGGACACGAGCUCCCCUGCCCAUGCGUGUUGAGACCCAUAGGUAGCUUUGGAGGUUGGGGGCAUUUGACUGCAGCAGCUGGCCUUCUGGCCUCUGCAACACAGAGCCACAGGGGCUCCCCAAGGCCAAGCUCAGAGAACUAGUGGAGCGAGGCUUCUAAGUGCCCUCAGGUGGCUCCCAGCCCCUGUCCUCACUGUCUGUAUAUCUGCCUUCCCUGGGGUCUCCGCUUCCCCAUCUCAAGUACUUGAUCAGUAUCUCUUAGCUUACUCCCAGGGCAGGGUCGUCAGAGCUCCCAAAGGCAGGCAGAGAGGAAUGGUCAAAAUAGUGAAAGUCCUUCCCGUGCAGGGGCAGCUGGGCGAAGCUUCUUGAUGGAGGCGGGACAGGGUCCUGGAGCCCUGGGCAUUAACUCUUCUGCUGGGUGAUUCAGAGGGUUCUGGGUGGCGGCCGGGCCCUCAGGGGACUCUGGGUAGUCAUGCAGGUCCAGACGGGGCAAAGACCUAUCCACGGUCACCCAGCACAGCUGGAAAAGGGGCAGAAAGGAGGGUGAGCUAUACCCUCUCAGACACCCCCCUCUCCACCUGCCAGGCUCCUACACUCCACAGGCGGCAGCUCGGAAUGUGACCCCCCAGGAGUGGCGGCCCAGCCGGCUGAGAAGCAGCCCCCCACCCACGGAGCCCCGGAGGACAAGCUACACCCCGGCCCCCACAGACGAGAGCUUCCCUGAGGAGGAGGAGGAGGAGGAGGAGGAGGAGGAGGACUGGGAGCCACCAACUAGGUCUGUGGUGGCAACGCCAUGAGGGAGGAGGCAGUCACAGUCUCCUGGCUAGGAUGGGUGAGGGUCCCUGUGCCACCGUAGGGGGGCAGCGGAGGAGUCUUGUUCUGGCUCCCAAGGAGGGUCGCUUCCCAGGAGAGAGGAGGAAACGUCGGUCAGAGCUGCCUCGGCCUGGCUGAGAUGGGGAUGAGGCUGUGCUGAGCAGAGGGCGCUGCCAUGGCAAACGUGUGGAAGGUGUUUGCCUUUCUGAAGUCUGCUAAUCUCUCGUUCUCAGAAGAAAGGCAACAGACUCAGAACUUGAACCCGACCCUCCUGACUUAGCCCAGAUUCCUUGACGGCCCCCCUACAAGGGCCUUCAGGUCACAGGUGCCAGCCCUGAGCUGUGGACGUGAUGGGUUUUGUAGUGUUGGCUUUGAAGGGCACGUUGUCACCCCUGGAGGAGGCCCCUGCGGAGAACAGGCCCUGUGGCUGUUCCUCACUGAGCCCUAGCUACCCCUCCCACAUCUGGGCUUUCAAUCAGGCACUUCCUUCUGCCUACUCUCUCCUGACCAAGGCCUACUGUGCCUUGAAAACCCAGGUCCUGCCUCCGGGAAGCUUCCCUGACUUUUUCAGGCAGAAGGCAUGUGAGCCUCCUCAUGGCACUGGCUGCCUUGUGUCCACCUGAUGCGUUCCCUGGCUGUGGUCCCUUCUGCUAAGUGCCUGGCACCCAGGAGGCAUUUCUGCACACUUUGUGAAGGAUCCGCCAGCUCCUUGAGAACAGGGGCGACACCUUCUUUACCUCCGUAGCCGUGAGCCCUGUGGAUGGAGCCCUGGCUCAAAAUAUUUGUAGAAAUGAUUUGAAUGGAGAGAAUGUCCUUUAGCCUCAGUCUUCUCAUCUUUAAAAUGGGAAGGGCAGGAGGCAACUAUCAUGCAUCAGCCUCCCUGAGUCUCCCUAGGAGAGAAAAGCUGGAGGGCCUUUAUAAGAAAGUGCUUUGCAAAUCAUACUUUAUAAGUGGCCAGGACUUUGUAGGCGGCAAGUGGCUUUGUGAACUAUGAAGCGUGCGUGUGACUUGGUAUUAUUCUAUUGUGCCUCAAUUUUAAAGUGAUGAUGGGCUCCUACACCCUGUGACGGAAGCCGUGGGGUGGCCUGGACCCUUCCCCAGCACAGACACGCCAUCUCCAUCCAUCUGUGUCCUUGCUGGCUCCAGCUCUGUCCCUGUCACUGUGCUAUGAUGCCAUGUGUCUGGGUGGGGCCAGGGGCCGUCCUCUGGGGCUACACCAUGGAUCUCCUCUCUGUCUAUCUGUCUGUCUGUCCGUCCGUCUGUCUCUCUUCCCAGGCGUCCUGUGUCACCGCUCUCCACCCCGUCUCAUCUGCCCCUGUUCUAA
rnacentral:lncRNA from 1 species